GCGGUUUUAGCUCAGUUGGGAGAGCGCAUGACUGAAGAUUCAACUUCGGGAGGUAACAACUGAAUAUCAUGAGGUCACCCGUUCGAUCCGGGUAAAUCGCA
rfam:Tncinocarpus reesii 1704 scaffold_2 genomic scaffold, whole genome shotgun sequence.